ensembl:lncRNA
UGCAUGAUAUGUCCAUAUAACCUGCUAACGAAUUCUAACUGGCAUUUUUAAUUAAGAAUAUGGUUGUACUGAUGACCAUCAGAAGUAUGGCUAUUUUUUAAAAAGGGGCAAAAAAAAAAUGGAGAAAUAUAUUCUAAAUCAAAGCAUAUUUUGUUUUAUGGACAAAUUUUAAUUCAUUUAAGAGACAAACUGACCUUCUCUACCCUUUGUUAUAUGUCUCCAGGCACAAAAGUUAAAUCAGACUUACAAAUCAACUCCUUUUGCCAGCUCAGUCAUCCCCUCACUUUAGCAUUUCUGUCUCCCACAGCCGCUGUCUCGGUCUCCCCAGCUGUGGUCUGUCCCAGCACUUUGCAACUGAUUAACUCUGAAAUUAAUACAAAUCUUCACCAAGUUUUCCAAUACCUUCCUAAUUGCAUAUGGAUAUGAUUCUGCUUAACCAACAGAUUAGGUUUCUACAUGCUUCCUUUGUGAAUUAAAGUACUUUUUCAAUAUCAAGAUUGCCCUUAUUUUGUGGUGUUCUUAUUUUUAACAGUCUUUUUAAGGCUACACAUUACAGUCUUUCUAACCGACUUCCAGAAAAGAAGGGUCCACCUGUAGGCAAGAGCAGCUGUGUUGAGUUUGCUAAUGUUGCCACAGGUAGUUCCUAUUGGCUGAUAGAAAUGGCAACCAUCACACAUCUAAAUUAUAUAGGUGUUGUGUUUCCCCCCUUCCCUCUCCCCUAGGGGAUUAAAGAAUUGGGUUAUUUAAAAUUAAACAUUCAGUUUGAUGAUCCUUUUCAGCUACUGAGAAAACAGUCAUUAUCAAAUUGCUCUUGUUCCUAGGUCCACCAAGGCAAAUCUAUUUAGCCAUGGAUGAGAUGGUGGUGGGCAGACAGCUGGAACCACAAAAUUAGGCUUUAAUGAAGCCGGAGUGUUCUGCAGCAUCUGUAGCACUGGUGGGUUCUUGCUGGUUGUGUUGCAGCUGCUUCUGUGUAGUUUGCAGUGCAGAGGCCAUCCAUCCACUUGUGCACCUACAUCAGAUCAAGGAGCUUCAAACUCAUCAUCACAACGCUCAGCAUUUUCUGUUAUUUUUUUCCCAAUUGUUGUGCAACCACCCCUUAAUUAAUCCUUGUAACAAUGAGAAAGAGAAACGUUAGAUUUAUUUGACAUUGUACACAGAAUAAGAUUGGAAGCUGGGAUAGGAUUUCUGGGGAAGUAUCUCUCAGUCUUCUGCUAAAUUAAGCUCCUUUUAAUGUUCCUCAUAUAAUUCAGCUGUUAAUUUUGCUCCUAAUUCUUUUUCUUUUCUUCUUUCCUUCUUUUCCCCAGUAAUUACUAUCAGCUGGUUCAGUGCCUGCAGUGUUGUCGACACGUUCCAGACAUACAAGCACGACAAAUAAUUUUUACAAGGCUUCCCAUAAAAAUAUAUUGCAUAUCUGAGAUCACUUUGAUUUAGUGAGGCUGGGAGAUUUUAAACACUGGCAUGCAUUAUGUAUCCAGUGAAGCUGUGUAGAUUAGUAAUAACGAAGUUCAUUUUUUUUGACUCGUGCUUUAUGUAACUUGCUUCAUCCAGUUGCUCUCAGCACAGGACAUACAGAGUUCAUAACACAGGGGUGCCCUGAUCAUGGAAGUGCUUAAGAUUGUCUGGUUUUCCCAGUUUCAGAGUUUGAUCCUUGUCUCACUUCAUCAAAGCCUCCUACCUGUAUCAUAGCAAAGACUGAAGAAAGCACUACCAACUUUUGUUAAUGAGAGGGAAAUGUGGCUUGAGUCUUUUUAUGUCUCUGUUAUUUUCAGGUCCUUACUUAAGGCCAAUCCAAAUUUAAAACCAAACUAAUUUUCCUCAUACUUACCAGAAAUACGUAUUUGCAAAUGCUUCCUAUAAAUAUAUGUUCACUGUGUACAUGUGUUCUAUCUAUAUAUUUAUAUUUAAAUAAUUCCAGAUGUGUAUGUGUUUGAAUAGAUUAAUAUAGAAAAUUCCUUUCAAAAACAUCAGAACUUGCUGCUUCUCUCAAAUCAGGCUGCCGUCAGGCUGUCUGCAGAUGUCUGUUCUCUUCUGCCCUCAUGUGGUUAUGAUCAAAAUGCAUGUGUACAGUGCAAUAAGGAUACCUGCAUCUCUGCAGUCCCCUGGGCAAAUACCUUUUCAGUUCAGAACUCUCUGGC